rnacentral:rRNA from 1 species
GGACCCGCACAAGCGGUGGAGCAUGUGGUUUAAUUCGAUGCAACGCGAAAACCUUACCUACUCUUGACAUAACUUGGAAGCGUCUUGUAAUGACGAGUGUGCCUUUAUGGAACCAAGAUACAGGUGCUGCAUGGCUGUCGUCAGCUCGUGUCGUGAGAUGUUCCGUUAAGUCCGGAUUAACGAGCGCAACCCUUACCCUUAUUUGCCAGCGAUUCGGUCGGGAACUAUAAGGGGACUGCCGGUGAUAAACCGGAGGAAGGUGAGGACGACGUCAAGUCAUCCAUGGCCCUUACGAGUAGGGCUACACACGUGCUACAAUGGGGAAUACAGACGGACGCUAAGCCGCGAGGUGGUGCUAAUCCUAGAAAGUUUCCGUAGUCCGGAUUGGAGUCUGCAACUCGACUCCAUGAAGUCGGAAUCGCUAGUAAUCG